rnacentral:misc_RNA from 1 species
GAUGAAGAACGUAGCGAAAUGCGAUAAGUAAUGUGAAUUGCAGAAUUCAGUGAAUCAUCGAAUCUUUGAACGCACCUUGCGCUCCUUGGUAUUCCGAGGAGCAUGCCUGUUUGAGUGUCAUGAAAUUCUCAACCUUUUCAGCUUUCUUUGUUGAUCAGGCUUGGAUGUGGGAGUAUGCGGGCUUCUCAGAAGUCGGCUCUCCUGAAAUGCAUUAGCGGGACCUUUGUUGCCUGGCUUUGGUGUGAUAAUUAUCUACGCCAUUGUAGUCAAGCAGCUUAAAAUGAGGUUUCAGCUUCUAACCGUCUCCCCUGAGACAACUUUUUGACAAUUUGACCUCAAAUCAGGUAGGACUACCCGCUGAACUUAAGCAUAUCAAUAGGCGGAGGA